UGAUGUCAUGAGAAGACUCUUGUCUUUGGAAAUGGCCAACCAGAAAGAGAAGCUAAAAAUCAAGCAAGAGCAGUUGACGAACAAGAUUGUGGCAAACCCUGAGGACACUAGCUCCCUGGAGGCUCGAAUUGUUGCCUUGACUGUCAAGAUUAGCAAUUAUGAAGAACACAUGCAGAAACAUCGAAAGGAAAAAGCCCACAAGCACUAUUUGCUGAUGAGCAUUGACCAGAGGAAAAAGAUGCUCAAAAACCUCCAUAAGACCAACUACAGUGUCUUUGAGAAGACAUGCAAGGAGCUGGGGAUUGAGUACACCUUUCCCCCUCUGUACCACUGGAAAGGCCACCAACGCUGGGCAACCAAGAAGGCCCUGUGCAUUCGGGUUUUCCAGGAGGUACAAAAGCUUAAGAAGCAAAAAAAGGGCCUUAAAAGCUAGAGUAGCAGCAGCCCGAAAACAAGGCCAGAAGAACCCAGAGAGCCCUUCUCAAUCUGGAACAGAGGCAAUCAAAGAAAACUGAUAAACUUUAUUAGACUU